UACGGGGGGGGCAAGCGUUGUUCGGAAUUACUGGGCGUAAAGGGCUCGUAGGUGGCCAACUAAGUCAGACGUGAAAUCCCUCGGCUUAACCGGGGAACUGCGUCUGAUACUGGAUGGCUUGAGUUCGGGAGAGGGAUGCGGAAUUCCAGGUGUAGCGGUGAAAUGCGUAGAUAUCAGGAGGAACACCAAUGGCGAAGGCAGCACUCUGGGACGUGACUGACGCUGAGACGCGAAAGCGUGGGGAGCAAACAGG
rnacentral:rRNA from 1 species